rnacentral:rRNA from 1 species
AUACGGAGGGUGCAAACGUUGCUCGGAAUCAUUGGGCGUAAAGCGUGCGUAGGCGGUUUGGCAAGUCGGGUGUGAAAGCCCUCGGCUCAACCGAGGAAGUGCAUUCGAAACUGCCAAACUUGAAUACUGGAGAGGGUGGCGGAAUUCCCGGUGUAGAGGUGAAAUUCGUAGAUAUCGGGAGGAACACCAGUGGCGAAGGCGGCCACCUGGACAGAUAUUGACGCUGAGGUACGAAAGCGUGGGGAGCAAACAGGAUUAGAAACCCCGGUAGUCC